rnacentral:misc_RNA from 1 species
GGAAUAAAAGUCGUAACAAGGUUUCCGUAGGUGAACCUGCGGAAGGAUCAUUAUUGUAUAACCGAGGUGCGAGGGCUGUCGCUGACCCGAAAGGUCGUGCACGCCCGAGUGCCCUCACACACAUCCAUCUCACCCCUAUGUGCACCACCGCGUGGGUCCCCCUUUGGCUUGUUCGGAGGGGGGCUUACGUUUUCACACAAACUUUGUAUGCAGUGUAGAAUGUAUUUUUUGUUUUUGCGAUCACGCAAUCAAUACAACUUUCAACAACGGAUCUCUUGGCUCUC